ensembl:lncRNA
GGGAAUUCCCAGUUUUGAUCCAGAUUGAAUCAAACUGGUCUGUUUUGUUUGCUAAGAAAGAACUCUCAUUGUUUAAGCCUUGAGUUCAGAGAAAUGUUUUUACCAAUGUAUGGACCUCUUGCUUAUUUAUUUAGAUAAAAUAUAUAUAUAUUACAUAUACAACAAUUAUUUAAUAAAAUAUGUAUUUAUUGGUUUAUUUAAAUAUUAUUAAUAAUUGUUUCAUAACUGUAUAUUUGGGUUUUAUUAACAUAUUUAGGAGUUUACACGUACAUUUAUUCUCCAGCUUCAAACUUACAGCAUAUCAAACUUGUAAAUGUUACAAUAUUAAAUAUAGAAAGCCAAUGGGACUGUGAUGCCCACCCACGUUAACACCUCCAUCAAUUAUGUAAAAGAAACAUUAAUGAGGAAGGGCCAUACAUCUUCUAUAGCUGAUGUGCUUCAUAUAUAGGCCACAAACUACACAACAGAUCCUCGUCAUCGCUUCAGCUGUUCUCAGAGAUGCAGCGAGAGCCAAGAACCCCAAUUAACCUCUCUCUCUCUCUCUCUCUCUCUCUCUAACAGUUGGGAUCCAUGCUGCUGCUGAUAUGGAUAUAUGAAAUACACCCAAAACCCACGGAUGUUAAGUUUAUAAAUGUGACUAUAAAUCCAGAGUGCCCAAAUGCAAAACGCAACUUUUGGAAAGUGGAUGAUAGUAAAAUCACCCCAAAGAUACUGCGGCGACACUUCAGCCGUUUGCUCGAUGUUUUUCCUGACUUUUAUGAAACCAUGGAAAUUUUCUCUGUGAGGAAUGCGACCUGCAAACGUUUCGAGGCAGAAAAGAAGUUUACCAGCCCGUUUUCCAUAGAGUCACUUCUGCAGCGGGAGAGCAGGGCCCCCGUGAGGCACAGACCGGUACUUUGUGCAACAAGGAGCCUGGAAAACGCGUUUGUGGGCCUCGCACAUGGAGACCGCUGUCUGGCGUGCAAGAGGAAACCAUGGGACUGGCCCCAUCAGACUGCAUACGCCGAUUUCAGUGGAUCAUUUUCACACUUUUCUUUUCCUACUUACAGUUUGGGCCAAAUUGACGGAUGCUGUCCCUCCGGUGGACCCUCCAAGAAGAUGUGCUCAGUCUCUGAACUGUCCUAUAAUUGUACAGCACCUGAGAGCAUUAGGCACUUCAACUCAAAUGUUGUGACCUGGGCCUAUAUGUAA